rnacentral:rRNA from 1 species
GUGCCAGCAGCCGCGGUAAUACGGAGGGGGCUAGCGUUGUUCGGAAUUACUGGGCGUAAAGCGCACGUAGGCGGAUCAGAAAGUUGAGGGUGAAAUCCCGGGGCUCAACCUCGGAACUGCCUUCAAAACUAUUGGUCUUGAGUUCGAGAGAGGUGAGUGGAAUUCCGAGUGUAGAGGUGAAAUUCGUAGAUAUUCGGAGGAACACCAGUGGCGAAGGCGGCUCACUGGCUCGAUACUGACGCUGAGGUGCGAAAGCGUGGGGGCAAACAGGAUUAGAU